CUUCUUGGAAAUUACCACGCAAAGGAUAUUCGCCAGUGAUUUAUUUCGUUCAUUACUUCGUCAGUUGGAAUCAUGUUUGGUAAAUUUAAUUCUUAAAUCCCCAAAGCCUGAUUUUGUGGGGGGGUUUUGUAGUAUUUCCUGUCUCAGUUCUAACCUUCUGUUUCAAAUUUUGUAAUAGUUUAACGGUUAUAGGCGCCAUCUAUGCAUUGAAAAUAUUCACCACCCAAAUAUGUUCUUUUUUAUGUAUCAUUUAUUAUUUAUACCUCCUCAUUUGUUUAUAAAAAUGUAUGUUAAUUUUAUGGAAAUAUAGCGUUAACAUUACUGUUUUAAAGAAAAAAAAGAAGUCUAAUAGUAAGGUAAAUUUCAAACGCCAUUACUUUGUGAUCGUAGCCUGAUGAGAAAACUCCAUAAGAUUUUUGGUAAAGUGCAACUUAUAUCAUAUAUUUUUUUGUGUCUUCUUUGAAAGCAAAAAUUGAACCCAUUACAACUAAAUAAAAAUUGAUUGUUCUUUACUUGAAUCAGAAAGAUAUUGUUCUUAAUCUUUUCUGAAUCAGUUUUGGUUUUCUUUGGGUGAAUAGCAGCAUCAACAUUCGUUUUGGAUUGAGCUUGGAUUUUGAUUUAAUCACCUAAUUUAUAUUGUUGUUGUAUAUUUGGGGGAAAACAAUAACCCCCAAUUUGAUUUUGUGCUCUUCUUAGCAAGAUUUGGGGACAAAAAUCGUAUACCUGCUUUAGAGAGUUAUUUAAUCAUUGCAUUUAGUUGAUGGUGGAAUUUAAUUCGUGAUAGAGUGAUUGCUGAAACAAAGAAAGCUGUCGGUGUAGUGAUAGGAAAGUGUUAAAGUGUGCAAAAUAAGUGCAAAUAGCUAAAUAUUUAAAAUCAAAAAUAUAAAAAUUAAAACGAAAUUUAACUAAAAGAAAAAUAUUGCUUUAGAAAAAAAAUUAUAUAUAUAUUACACAAACAAAAUACACUAGCCUACAUAGUGAUUUUAUUCUCGACAUACAAUAAAUUUACAUCAAUAUCCUGAUAAUGUCAUCUAAUUAGUGCUAAACGUUAGUUCGUUCACUUA